rnacentral:rRNA from 1 species
UAAGGAAUAUUGGACAAUGGACGCAAGUCUGAUCCAGCCAUGCCGCGUGAAGGAUGAAUGCCCUCUGGGUUGUAAACUUCUUUUAUAGGGGAAGAAAGAUACUUUUUUUAAGGUAGUUGACGGUACCCUAUGAAUAAGCACCGGCUAACUCCGUGCCAGCAGCCGCGGUAAUACGGAGGGUGCAAGCGUUAUCCGGAUUUACUGGGUUUAAAGGGUGCGUAGGCGGGCAUGUAAGUCAGUGGUGAAAUACCGGAGCUUAACUUCGGAACUGCCAUUGAUACUAUAUGUCUUGAAUAUUGUAGAGGUUAGCGGAAUAUGUCAUGUAGCGGUGAAAUGCAUAGAUAUGACAUAGAACACCGAUUGCGGAGGCAGCUUGCUACGCAAAUAUUGACGCUGAGGCACGAAAGCGUGGGGAUCAAACA